UACGUAGGCAGCAAGCGUUGUUCGGAGUUACUGGGCGUAAAGAGUGCGUAGGCGGUGCCCUAAGUCUGUUGUGAAAUCUCCCGGCUUAACUGGGAGGGUGCGGUGGAAACUGGGGUGCUUGAGUGUGGGAGAGGUUAGCGGAAUUCCUGGUGUAGCGGUGAAAUGCGUAGAUAUCAGGAGGAACACCGGUGGUGUAGACGGCUGACUGGACCACGACUGACGCUGAGGCACGAAAGCGUGGGUAGCAAACAGG
rnacentral:rRNA from 1 species